CUCACAUAGCUCUUUCAGAAAGACUUUGAGGACUGGAGUCCAUUCAGGCCCACAGUUCCCACAAUACCAGAGCCUCAGUAGACACAUGGGUCACCUCCGGGGUUCACCUCUUCGAAGACUGAUCUCCUUUCCUGAGCCUUGGCCACCUGCUCCAUCAACCUGCUUCAUUGGAAUUUUAGUAUCUGCAGCCCCAUCAAAUGCCACAGUCAGCCCUGUGGUUGCCACUGGGACCUGUGAGACUACAUGUGACAGGCAAAAGAUGCCAGGGGAAGAAGAACCAAUAUGCAGGACACUAAGCAUGGCCCCAGGACCACUUGCUAAUCAUAUAGGCACAGCAUGGUCCUCUACCCCAGGAAGUGUCCUUCUCCUGGGAGAAUGAUUAGACUGUGG